rnacentral:rRNA from 1 species
GUUGAACGCUGGCGGCAUGCCUAACACAUGCAAGUCGAGCGGACAGACGAGGCUCUUGCCUGUCUGACGUUAGCGGCGGACGGGUGAGUAACACGUGUCUAACCUACCUAUAAGACUGGCAUACCUUCGGGAAACCUGAUCUAAUACCCGAUCAUAUAGUGAACCUCAUGGUUCAUUGGUCAAAGCCCGUUUUGCUGUCACUAAUAGAUGGUACCAGGCCGCAUUAGCUAGUUGGUAGGGUAAAGGCUUACCAAGGCGACGAUGCGUAGCUGACCUGAGAGGAUGAUCAGUCACACUGGAACUGAGACACGGUCCAGACUCCUACGGGAGGCAGCAGUGGGGAAUAUUGGACAAUGGGCGAAAGCCUGAUCCAGCCAUGCCGCGUGUGUGAAGAAGGUCUUCGGAUUGUAAAGCACUUUAAGUUGGGAGGAAGAGCAGUAAGUUAAUACCUUGCUGUUUUGACGUUACCAACAGAAUAAGCACCGGCUAACUUCGUG